CAGUAGGGAGGAAGGUAGUGUAGUUAACACCUGCAUUAUUUGACGUUACCUACAGAAGAAGCACCGGCUAACUCCGUGCCAGCAGCCGCGGUAAUACGGAGGGUGCGAGCGUUAAUCGGAAUUACUGGGCGUAAAGACGCAUGCAGGCGGCCUGUUAAGUCAGAUGUGAAAGACCCGGGGCGUUAACCUCGGAAUUGCAUUUGAAACUAGGCAGGCUAGAGUCUUGUAGAGGGGGGUAGGAAGUUUCAGGUGUAGCGGUGAAAUAGCGUAGAGAUCUGAAGGAAUACCAGUGGCGAAGGCGGCCCCCUCGGACAAAGACUGACGCUCAGAUGCGAAAGCGUGGGGAGCAAACAGGAUUAGAUACCCUGGUAG
rnacentral:rRNA from 1 species